GUCUCAGUCCUACCCGAAGAUCGGUCUAUGAGCUCUGAGCUCGCUCCGUAAUGGGGAAGACUGGCUGGGUGACCAGCAGACGACCAAGGUGAAUUACACAAACACACAAUUAUACUUGAGGCUCGCGCAAAUUACCAAUUACGAGUACUACAUCCGUUUUAAUAGACUUUAGACUGUCUGCAUGGAGGAGCGACACAGCGUCACAAUUGACAACAAACAUGAAGCUUCUCUACCAAAAGGUAAGCUUGAGGACAUCCAGCUGUAACGGCUUACAGGGCAGGAGAACAGCGGGAUCAUCCUCACCGCCCAGUUGUGGUUUGGUUUGCGGAAUUCUCCGACUAAGAAGCUGUAAGAAGAAACGCUGCAGAAAUGCGGAAAAGAUUUGCGCCCAGCCUGGCAAGCAAUGCGCAAAGAACACUUCUGCUUAAGCAAACUAAGAGCAGGCACAGGCAAUAUCGCUUACUUUAAUCACAUGAAAUUAGCUAUUAAAGAGAGAAAUGUGGUAUAGCGAUGGUGGUGCUGCGUCGCUGAGCCCGCUGGUAAUGAAGCUUCGGGCGCCGCCUGUUCGGUUCCCCCAAGUGAUGCUGGUGGUGGCGCUGCUGCUGGACACUGUGGUGGUUACGUCUGACGAUGCAGGUGCUUCGUCUCUCUUGGACUCCACCGGUCCUGGCGUUCCUAAGGGCGUUGUGGACGGGAGACGCGCCCAGAGGUGUAGCUGCGGUGUGGUGUGAUGUGAUGUGGUGUGGUAUGGUGUGGUGUGGUGUGGUGUGGUGUGGCGGUGCGGCGCGGUCCGGAGACAUCACCAGGGGAAUGACAAGAAUGGAUGGGGCCCGAGGAGUCAUCAGGGGCUCAGAUACGGAUCCUGGUCGUGGUCACAACUUAUUCUAAAGGAGGACAAGCACUCGAGGUCAAGAAACAUCGCCAUCCAUCUGUGGAGCCAGACGUGACCACUGCAGUAUUGAUUGUUCCAGCUGGUACAGGGACUUCACAUGCAGCGCCGUCGUGCAUGCGCUUCAGGCUACUCAGGGAAAGGAAGGGAAGGG